AUUGUCGUUGGCCUGUAGACAUUGCCAGUUUGGAUCAGUGUUCAACAUUCCUUCUCUGAGCGACAACCGGAAUUUUCAGCUAAAAUUUUUCAAAGUUCUUCUCGUAGCCGCGGUGAAAGUACAAGACCAUUAAACAUCUGACAAUGGAUCAAGACCCUUCAAAAGUCAUUUUAAGUGCCGAACGCCUGGAAGAACUGAAAGAGCUCACCAAUCUCUAUAAAAGGAUCAUAGAACGAUUGGACGAACUUGUGAGAGAACGAGAAAUCCUUUGUUACCAGAUUGAAUCCAUCCUCUGGCUGUGCAACCGCUACAAGCUGCCUAGUCAAUAUGAAAUGCUGUUGUAUCACAUCAAUAAUGUAUUGAACAGUGAUGAUUUCUCAGUUGAAGACGGAAAUCCCAUGGAAUAACUCUUGCGUCAAUGUUUUCUGUUCGUUUUGAAUGAUUUCAAAGUCAACAAAAUUUUAAUUUCGUGUGCCAGUGAAUGAAGAAUGUCAAGCUGAAAAUAUCAUUUUCAAGAUGUACCUAUCCUCCGGAUGUGCAAUCGAUAAUAUAUUGAACCAUUAUGAUUCUUCAAAAGGAGGCGGUGAUCGCAUGGAAAACCCUUUCGUCACUUUGUUCAGUUUGUUUUAAAUGCUUUCAAGAUAAUAUUUGGAAAAGUCAACAAAAUUAUUUGAGUAUGACGAGCUCUCUAUAUAUUUUUCAAGACAGAUCCUUCUCCUGGCUGAGCAAUCGCCACAAGCCACCAAUUCAACAACCGACGUUGUUGUAAUAUAAAAAUAAUUGUUGAACAAUGAUGAUUCUUUAAAUGAAGACGGGGGCUCGCAAGUUUUCUGUUUGUUUAAAAUGCUUUCAAGAUGGAAAUGCAAAGUCAACAAAAUUAUAAUCCCAAGUGACGGAACACCAGUGACAGAAAUAUGUCAAGCUGAAUAUAUAGCUUUCAAGUUGAUCAACAAAAUUAGGAAACCCUGUUAAAGAAAUGCCAGUGAAGUUGUAUCAAGAAAGCCUGAUCAAUACAUUUAUAUGGAAAUUGAAGUACUGAAUUAAUAGUAUUUUGGAAGAUAUAUACCUUUGUACUGGAUGACUUACUCGAAGAAAAAUAUAUUUGUUUAUAAUCCUGGGAUAUUAGAAA